GACAGAGUGCCCGAGUGGUUAAGGGGAGUGACUUGAAAUCACUUGGUUUCGGCCUCGCAGGUUCGAAUCCUGUCUCUGUCG